rnacentral:rRNA from 1 species
CCUACGGGAGGCAGCAGUGAGGAAUAUUGGACAAUGGGCGCAAGCCUGAUCCAGCCAUGCCGCGUGCAGGAAGACGGUCCUAUGGAUUGUAAACUGCUUUUGUACAGGAAGAAACACUCCCUCGUGAGGGAGCUUGACGGUACUGUAAGAAUAAGGAUCGGCUAACUCCGUGCCAGCAGCCGCGGUAAUACGGAGGAUCCAAGCGUUAUCCGGAAUCAUUGGGUUUAAAGGGUCCGUAGGCGGUUUAAUAAGUCAGUGGUGAAAUCUGGUCGCUCAACGAUCAAACGGCCAUUGAUACUGUUAGACUUGAAUUAUUAGGAAGUAACUAGAAUAUGUAGUGUAGCGGUGAAAUGCUUAGAUAUUACAUGGAAUACCAAUUGCGAAGGCAGGUUACUACUAAUGGAUUGACGCUGAUGGACGAAAGCGUGGGGAGCGAACAGGAUUAGAUACCCUGGUAGUCCACGCCGUAAACGAUGGAUACUAGCUGUUGGGCGCAAGUUCAGUGGCUAAGCGAAAGUGAUAAGUAUCCCACCUGGGGAGUAACGGUUGCAAGAAUGAAACUUCAAGGAAUUGACGG